rnacentral:rRNA from 1 species
GUGAACGCUGGCGGUAGGCCUAACACAUGCAAGUCGAACGGCAGCACAGUAAGGGCUUGCUCUUACGGGUGGCGAGUGGCGGACGGGUGAGGAAUACAUCGGAAUCUACUUUUUCGUGGGGGAUAACGUAGGGAAACUUACGCUAAUACCGCAUACGACCUACGGGUGAAAGCAGGGGAUCUUCGGACCUUGCGCGAUUGAAUGAGCCGAUGUCGGAUUAGCUAGUUGGCGGGGUAAAGGCCCACCAAGGCGACGAUCCGUAGCUGGUCUGAGGGGAUGAUCAGCCACACUGGAACUGAGACACGGUCCAGACUCCUACGGGAGGCAGCAGUGGGGAAUAUUGGACAAUGGGCGCAAGCCUGAUCCAGCCAUACCGCGUGGGUGAAGAAGGCCUUCGGGUUGUAAAGCCCUUUUGUUGGGAAAGAAAAGCAGCAGGUUAAUACCCCGCUGUUCUGACGGUACCCAAAGAAUAAGCACCGGCUAACUUCGUG